CCGUCCACCUCGCUAAACCCCGGCCGCCGUGACCUCGGGGGGCUCCGGCUGCCAAGGGUCCAUUGCGUCGCCGCAACCAGCAUCUGAGAACGCUGCGAACUCGGGCAGUCGGCGGGAAGAAGUUCGGGAUUCGGCGCGUGACAGGGGCGCGUCCGAGUCCCGCGGCGUCUGAGCGCGAGCGCUGGACCGUCGCUUCGUCGCCAUGCCGACGGGACGCGGAGGGGAGGACUCUCAAGCCUCCGUCAGCGGCGGUCUUAGCGCUCCGUCCACCUCCCUGAAUCAGUCUUCACCCUUCCCGACUCUGCGGGGUCGGUGGCGGCAGGGGUUCGAUUUUGCCAUAAAUGCGAUGUCUUUGAUGGAUACAACUGCAUCGGUGAAAUGAAAAGUUGCUGGAAGAUUAAUGCAGCGGCGACUAACAGGAGCUGUCGCACAGAUAACUUGUACUUUUAUGAUCGCCUUACAGGGAGGUAUCUAUAUCGUUAUACAACACUAUCAUGUGAAACUUGUGAAGCGGGAAUGUUCCAGGUAUUCCAUGAUCUCUUGAGAGAAACAUUUUGCUGCGUUCAUGAUGACAGGUGCAAUGACCCUAAUAAUAUACCAGAAACUACAAAGGAAUAUGUGUCAAAAGAUAAAGACAGAAUUGUUUGACCAACAAAAUAAAAUAAUUAAGUUUUAAACCACA